rnacentral:rRNA from 1 species
GUGGGGAAUAUUGGGCAAUGGGCGCAAGCCUGACCCAGCGACGCCGCGUGGGUGAUGAAGGCCUUCGGGUCGUAAAGCCCUGUCAGGUGGAAAGAAUGGGCAGUGUGCAAAUAGCACAGUGCCGUGACGGUACCACCGAAGGAAGCACCGGCCAAUUCCGUGCCAGCAGCCGCGGUAAGACGGAAGGUGCAAGCGUUGCUCGGAAUCACUGGGCGUAAAGCGCGGGCAGGCGGUCUGUUAAGUCGUUUGUGAAAAUCCGGGGCUCAACCCCGGAAAUGCAUACGAUACUGGCAGGCUGGAGACUGGUAGAGGCUAGCGGAAUUCCUGGUGUAGCGGUGGAAUGCGUAGAUAUCAGGAAGAACACCUGUGGCGAAGGCGGCUAGCUGGGCCAGUUCUGACGCUGAUCCGCGAAAGCGUGGGAGCAAACAGGAUUAGAUACCCAUGUAGUCCCUGAGCGGGCUGGCAAGGCGCAU